UUCAUUCAGAUGGUUGAGCUCUUGUUUGU
rnacentral:piRNA from 1 species